rnacentral:rRNA from 1 species
GACGAACGCUGGCGGCGUGCCUAAUACAUGCAAGUAGAACGCUGAAGCUUGGUGCUUGCACCGAGCGGAUGAGUUGCGAACGGGUGAGUAACGCGUAGGUAACCUGCCUGGUAGCGGGGGAUAACUAUUGGAAACGAUAGCUAAUACCGCAUAAGAGUAGAUGUUGCAUGACAUUUGCUUAAAAGGUGCAAUUGCAUCACUACCAGAUGGACCUGCGUUGUAUUAGCUAGUUGGUGAGGUAACGGCUCACCAAGGCAACGAUACAUAGCCGACCUGAGAGGGUGAUCGGCCACACUGGGACUGAGACACGGCCCAGACUCCUACGGGAGGCAGCAGUAGGGAAUCUUCGGCAAUGGACGGAAGUCUGACCGAGCAACGCCGCGUGAGUGAAGAAGGUUUUCGGAUCGUAAAGCUCUGUUGUAAGAGAAGAACGAGCGUGAGAGUGGAAAGUUCACACUGUGACGGUAUCUUACCAGAAAGGGACGGCUAACUACGUG